GAUUAAGUUAUUAAGGGCGCACGGUGGAUGCCUUGGCACUAGAAGCCGAUGAAGGACGUUACUAACGACGAUAUGCUUUGGGUAGCUGUAAGUAAGCGUUGAUCCAGAGAUUUCCGAAUGGGGGAACCCAGCACAAGUUAUGUUGUGUUAUCGACAAGUGAAUUCAUAGCUUGUCAGAAGGCAGACCCGGAGAACUGAAACAUCUUAGUACCCGGAGGAAGAGAAAGAAAAUUCGAUUCCCUGAGUAGCGGC
rnacentral:rRNA from 1 species